rnacentral:lncRNA from 1 species
GGUCAACAGGGAUUCGGUGGGCCAGCCAGUCCUUCUCUGAGGUCUGAGGAGAGAGCUAAACCAUUGGAAGCAGGAGAUGAGGCAGGAAGACAGAAAGAAGGAGAUCACAGCCUCACCUCAUGGGUAAGGAAGAGAAGCCCAGAGCUAACUGCGCCACAAAGAAGAGGGAGAUCGAAAUCUUCGCUACAACGUCCAUUUCUCACUAAAACCUGUGUUGAAGAUUGAUUCCGGGAUAAUGCAGUGCUG